rnacentral:lncRNA from 1 species
UCAAUGGCUUCCCAUAAAGCUAGGGUUUCGGCCAUAAGGGGAGAAGAAGCUUUGAUCUCCUUAACCACUCCUUCCACCAACCUCCCUUCUGAAUCUCUGCACACACAAGCUAUGGAGUUCCUCAACAAACCAGGUUCGUGCGUCCCAUCUACAUUAAUCUUCCAAGCUCCUUCGUGUGGUGGAAUCCAUUGCUGAGGUGUUUCAAUUUCGUGGGUUUCAGAUCUGGUAUUUUCGUGGGUUUUCUGUCCAGCACCCCUCUGAUUCGGUCCUUCUUUGCGCCGAGAUCUUGGUUCCUCUCUUUCUUCUCUGCUCCGUGGACCGGCGUUGCCUCUGGUGGCCAACCCAACAAACCCCUGUUUCAGCUCACCGCUCGGUCGAAGACGCCUGUGCUCUGUUCCUUUCUCCGAUCGU